GAUGAACGCUGGCGGCGUGCCUAAUACAUGCAAGUCGAGCGAACGGACGAGAAGCUUGCUUCUCUGAUGUUAGCGGCGGACGGGUGAGUAACACGUGGAUAACCUACCUAUAAGACUGGGAUAACUUCGGGAAACCGGAGCUAAUACCGGAUAAUAUUUUGAACCGCAUGGUUCAAAAGUGAAAGACGGUCUUGCUGUCACUUAUAGAUGGAUCCGCGCUGCAUUAGCUAGUUGGUAAGGUGACGGCUUACCAAGGCAACGAUGCAUAGCCGACCUGAGAGGGUGAUCGGCCACACUGUAACUGAGACACGGUCCAGACUCCUACGGGAGGCAGCAGUAGGGAAUCUUCCGCAAUGGGCGAAAGCCUGACGGAGCAACGCCGCGUGAGUGAUGAAGGUCUUCGGAUCGUAAAACUCUGUUAUUAGGGAAGAACAUAUGUGUAAGUAACUGUGCACAUCUUGACGGUACCUAAUCAGAAAGCCACGGCUAACUACGUG
rnacentral:rRNA from 1 species